UGGCCGAAGUCAGCAAAUUGUCUGUGUUAUUGAGUUUUCACGCAGAGAGUGAAUGAAGAUGGCAACCACAAGUAGUAAUUCAAACAUGAACUGUAUGGUGCCAGGCUGUAUGAAUUGGCUCCAAAAAAAUCCCUUGGUAAACUACCAUCGACUGCCCAAGGACCCACAACUUUUGUAGAAGUGGCUCCAUACCAUGAAGAGGAAGGACUUGCUUGAGCUAGCAGGAUCUGCAGACAGCUCUUCACGGAGGCAGACUUCGCAAUGAAGGGCACUUUCGAUGUGGCAACCGGGAGUUUCCGAAUGGAAAGCAGUCAUCGGACUACGUUGACGCCCUCCGCUUGCGCCUGAGGUAACGUUAACCGGUCAUGUGGUUGACUAGGCUAGCGUUAGACACAGGACAACUUUGUUGCAACUCUAAUUGAAGGAUGACAUCUUCAUCCCUGAAAAUGUUUUCAUCCUGGAGGAGACUGUUCAGGAGGCAAAAGAGGAAAGAACAGUUAGUACAGCCAAACUGACCCCUGGGUGCCAGAGUGUUUCCUGUGCUGCGGUGGAGAAGCGGUCUACCGGAACCAGCACUAAAGAGCUGGAUUUGCUACCGUGUCCCGGUUCUACUGUUUCGACUCUCUCUCUCUCAACCUCUAGCUAUGAAAAGCCAACUGAGGUGUUGAACUGUUGCACCCUCUAUAACCACUAUGGUUAUUAUUUUGAUGAUAAAAAAAGGGCUUUUGUAAAAUACAUUUGAUUGAUUGGUUGAUUGAUUGUUUUCUGUGCUGUAUGCUGUGUAUUCACUGUCUGAGUGAUGGGACAUUUUUAUAGUAUCUGUAACAUAUUUUGGUGUGUAUUAAAUCUUCACCUUAAAGUGGCAAUCAGCAGUAGAAACAAUAGCAAAGUCUCUCCCUGCUCCUCUUUGGGUAAAAAGCUGUGGGCUGGGGAAAUGUAACCACUCUCAAAUUCAUAGACAGAGCUAAAAGGACUGAACCUCCAUGAUAUCGCUUCGGAUAAAGGAAUCAGCUAAAUGGCAUAUAUUAUUAAAGUCUACUUUGACUCCCAA